rnacentral:rRNA from 1 species
AGCCAGACUCCUACGGGAGGCAGCAGUGGGGAAUAUUGCGCAAUGGGCGAAAGCCUGACGCAGCGACGCCGCGUGAGGGAAGACGGUCUUCGGAUUGUAAACCUCUGUCUUUGGGGAAGAAAAUGACGGUACCCAAAGAGGAAGCACCGGCUAAAUACGUGCCAGCAGCCGCGGUAAUACGUAUGGUGCGAGCGUUGUCCGGAUUUACUGGGCGUGAAGGGGGCGCAGGCGGCGCGCCAAGCCCGAUGUGAAAGCCCGGGGCUCAACCCCGGGACUGCAUUGGGAACUGGCGUGCUGGAGUGCCGGAGGGGCAGGCGGAAUUCCUGGUGUAGCGGUGAAAUGCGUAGAUAUCAGGAGGAACACCGGUGGCGAAGGCGGCCUGCUGGACGGAUACUGACGCUGAGGCCCGAAAGCGUGGGGAGCAAACAGGAUUAGAUACCCUCGUA